rnacentral:lncRNA from 1 species
UUUAUGUUUAUACUUUAUAUAGUCGAUGGAAAACAGUAGAAAACAGACAAGAAAACCCCCUGCCCUACAAGGUCCCAGAAAAAGAAAACUCACAACAAAUUAUGUUUUGAAAAAAAAAAUAUCAAGAAAGGAAAUAGACAUUAAAUAAAAAAUAAAGGUAAAAGGGCAAAAUAAUAAAAGCCAAGGAACAUGAAAAGGAUGCCAAAACUAGAAUCCUUU